rnacentral:tRNA from 1 species
GGAGAGGUGUCGGAGUGGCUUAUCGAGCUGGUUUCGAAAACCAGUGUCCCGAUCCUCGGGACCGCGGGUUCGAAUCCCGCCCUCUCCG